CCUACGGGAGGCAGCAGUGAGGAAUAUUGGACAAUGGGCGCAAGCCUGAUCCAGCCAUGCCGCGUGCAGGAUGACGGUCCUAUGGAUUGUAAACUGCUUUUGCACAGGAAGAAACAACAUUACGUGUAAUGUCUUGACGGUACUGUGAGAAUAAGGAUCGGCUAACUCCGUGCCAGCAGCCGCGGUAAUACGGAGGAUCCAAGCGUUAUCCGGAAUCAUUGGGUUUAAAGGGUCCGUAGGCGGUUUAGUAAGUCAGUGGUGAAAGCCCAUCGCUCAACGGUGGAACGGCCAUUGAUACUGCUAGACUUGAAUUAUUAGGAAGUAACUAGAAUAUGUAGUGUAGCGGUGAAAUGCUUAGAGAUUACAUGGAAUACCAAUUGCGAAGGCAGGUUACUACUAAUGGAUUGACGCUGAUGGACGAAAGCGUGGGUAGCGAACAGGAUUAGAUACCCCGGUAGUC
rnacentral:rRNA from 1 species